GAUGAAGAACGCAGCGAAAUGCGAUAAGUAAUGUGAAUUGCAGAAUUCAGUGAAUCAUCGAAUCUUUGAACGCAUCUUGCGCUCCUUGGUAUUCUGAGGAGCAUGCCUGUUUGAGUGUCAUUAAAUUCUCAACUACACUGACUUUGAAUUGGUGUGGCUUGGAUUUGGGGGGAAAAUUGUCGUGGGCUUUUUGUAUAGUCUGCUCCCCUGAAAUUGAUUAGCGGUACCUUUGUGGAACUGUCUACAGGUGUGAUAAUUAUCUACAUCUUAGACAUCUGCUGGAAUGCUGCUUUCUAAACCUUACUUGUAUUGACAAUCUUGACCUCAAAUCAGGUAGGACUACCCGCUGAACUUAAGCAUAUCAAUAAGCGGAGGA
rnacentral:misc_RNA from 1 species